GCUGCGAUGGCCGAGAGGUUAAGGCGUUGGACUUGAAAUCCAAUGGGUUACACCCGCGUAGGUUGGAAUCCUAAUCGCAGCG
rnacentral:tRNA from 1 species